rnacentral:lncRNA from 1 species
GCACGCGCGGGGUGAAGAUGGUCGAGUGAGGACGGCAGGCGCGGAAAGGCGGCGCAGCCGGAUCCAGCCGAGGCAGCUGCAGUCGAGGAACUGGGAGAUGCAGGGUCCAGAGAGAACGGCGAAGACAGCACACCUGGGAAAGGCGCGUACGAGGGAGAGAAACUAGGGAUCGUCUGCCGGUCCUCGUCUGACCAGCAGGCCGUCACGAUGUCGCUGCCGUCUGCAUGGAGUCCACAGGCAGGACAGCGCAGGUAUAACGCAGAGAUGUGCUUCCGAGGGCGGCAAGCAUGUGCACCUUGUUUCCUGUGGCCAACGCUAGCAGAUGAACGAGAUGCUUCUGAAGUAAAUUCACAUGCUAGAGUGAUACCUGUAAUUAUUUGGAGUGCACGAGUCAUUGCAACUAGAAACCUAAAGCUAUAAGAUGAAUUUAGAUGCCACGGGGAGGAAACCGGCAAAUCGUCAGGGUGUGCAGUGAACUCCGAGACGCGCUUUUUGUUGCCUAACUCGCGCUUCGCCACUUCCAGUGACACACUUCCUUGUGGAACCUUUGAUGGCUCUGGGAGAUUCAAGAAGGCACAGUUUUAUCUUUCUCUUACCGGUGUGGAAGUCCGGCGAUUCGCGUUUCUUUGCCUCGGGGGAGCGGUCUGGAGCGUGCGCUGCCGCUUGGCUUUCGCCGCCGUCGUCUUGCGUCGGGCCCCCAUCCAUAACUGUGAGCGCAAUCACGCCCGAGAGUCCCUCCCUCCUGUCGCUUCGAGCGCCGGGACCGCUGGCGUCUUCUCCUUCUGCCGUGCUCCGGGAAAGGGCGGAGAACUCGAGAGGCCUGUCGGGAGGCUGCGGCUUGCGCCGUUGCAGAGCCUGCAGAAAUCGUCCAGCUGCCUCCUCUUCGGCGUCCCCCUCCACCUGCUCUCCCUGCGCGUGUUCCGCUCCGGCGAGCGACCCUCCCGCUAGGAGCCAUCGAGCGGCUUCAACAGAGACAGGAACGGCCUCUCGGCACAUGGCCGGCAGGAAGACCGAAAGCGGCAGUUCGUGGGGAAGAGGCCCCGGGGUUUGGGCAAACGCCUUAGGAAGACCGUUUUGGACGAAGCGGAGGCACGCGGAGUCGGCCGACACAGGCGAGAAAGAGGACGAACCGGAGGCGGCCAGGGCAAGCUCGGGCUCUCCUGAGAAUCUGUUUCUUCUGGGGUCUCUUAGCGACGAGCCCAGGAC